rnacentral:tRNA from 4 species
GGUCUGGUGGUCUAGUGGUAUGAUUCUCGCUUAGGGUGCGAGAGGUCCCGUGUUCAAUCCACGGCCAGACCC